UGGGGAAUAUUGGACAAUGGGCGCAAGCCUGAUCCAGCCAUGCCGCGUGAGUGAUGAAGGCCCUAGGGUUGUAAAGCUCUUUCACCGGUGAAGAUAAUGACGGUAACCGGAGAAGAAGCCCCGGCUAACUUCGUGCCAGCAGCCGCGGUAAUACGAAGGGGGCUAGCGUUGUUCGGAUUUACUGGGCGUAAAGCGCACGUAGGCGGACUUUUAAGUCAGGGGUGAAAUCCCGGGGCUCAACCCCGGAACUGCCUUUGAUACUGGAAGUCUUGAGUAUGGUAGAGGUGAGUGGAAUUCCGAGUGUAGAGGUGAAAUUCGUAGAUAUUCGGGGGAACACCAGUGGCGAAGGCGGCUCACUGGACCAUUACUGACGCUGAGGUGCGAAAGCGUGGGGAGCAAACAGG
rnacentral:rRNA from 2 species